CAGGUUUACCUGUGUGACUGCGUACCUUUUGUAUAAUGGGUCAGCGACUUAUAUUCUGUAGCAAGGUUAACCGUAUAGGGGAGCCGUAGGGAAACCGAGUCUUAACCGGGCGUUAAGUUGCAGGGUAUAGACCCGAAACCCGGUGAUCUAGCCAUGGGCAGGUUGAAGGUUGGGUAACACUAACUGGAGGACCGAACCGACUAAUGUUGAAAAAUUAGCGGAUGACCUGUGGCUGGGGGUGAAAGGCCAAUCAAACCGGGAGAUAGCUGGUUCUCCCCGAAAGCUAUUUAGGUAGCGCCUCGUGAAUUCAUCUCCGGGGGUAGAGCACUGUUUCGGCUAGGGGGCCAUCCCGGCUUACCAACCCGAUGCAAACUGCGAAUACCGGAGAAUGUUAUCACGGGAGACACACGGCGGGUGCUAACGUCCGUCGUGAAGAGGGAAACAACCCAGACCGCCAGCUAAGGUCCCAAAGUCAUGGUUAAGUGGGAAACGAUGUGGGAAGGCCCAGACAGCCAGGAUGUUGGCUUAGAAGCAGCCAUCAUUUAAAGAAAGCGUAAUAGCUCACUGGUCGAGUCGGCCUGCGCGGAAGAUGUAACGGGGCUAAACCAUGCACCGAAGCUGCGGCAGCGACGCUGAUGCGUUGUUGGGUAGGGGAGCGUUCUGUAAGCCUGUGAAGGUGGCCUGUGAGGGUUGCUGGAGGUAUCAGAAGUGCGAAUGCUGACAUAAGUAACGAUAAAGCGGGUGAAAAGCCCGCUCGCCGGAAGACCAAGGGUUCCUGUCCAACGUUAAUCGGGGCAGGGUGAGUCGACCCCUAAGGCGAGGCCGAAAGGCGUAGUCGAUGGGAAACGGGUUAAUAUUCCCGUACUUGGUGUUACUGCGAAGGGGGGACGGAGAAGGCUAUGUUGGCCGGGCGACGGUUGUCCCGGUUUAAGCGUGUAGGUGUGUGUUCCAGGUAAAUCCGGUUCACUUUAACACUGAGGCGUGAUGACGAGGCACUACGGUGCUGAAGCAACAAAUGCCCUGCUUCCAGGAAAAGCCUCUAAGCAUCAGGUAACAUCAAAUCGUACCCCAAACCGACACAGGUGGUCAGGUAGAGAAUACCAAGGCGCUUGAGAGAACUCGGGUGAAGGAACUAGGCAAAAUGGUGCCGUAACUUCGGGAGAAGGCACGCUGACACGUAGGUGAAGUGAUUUACUCAUGGAGCUGAAGUCAGUCGAAGAUACCAGCUGGCUGCAACUGUUUAUUAAAAACACAGCACUGUGCAAACACGAAAGUGGACGUAUACGGUGUGACGCCUGCCCGGUGCCGGAAGGUUAAUUGAUGGGGUCAGCGCAAGCGAAGCUCCUGAUCGAAGCCCCGGUAAACGGCGGCCGUAACUAUAACGGUCCUAAGGUAGCGAAAUUCCUUGUCGGGUAAGUUCCGACCUGCACGAAUGGCGUAAUGAUGGCCAGGCUGUCUCCACCCGAGACUCAGUGAAAUUGAACUCGCUGUGAAGAUGCAGUGUACCCGCGGCAAGACGGAAAGACCCCGUGAACCUUUACUAUAGCUUGACACUGAACAUUGAGCCUUGAUGUGUAGGAUAGGUGGGAGGCUUUGAAGCGUGGACGCCAGUCUGCAUGGAGCCGGCCUUGAAAUACCACCCUUUAAUGUUUGAUGUUCUAACGUGGACCCGUGAUCCGGGUUGCGGACAGUGUCUGGUGGGUAGUUUGACUGGGGCGGUCUCCUCCUAAAGAGUAACGGAGGAGCACGAAGGUUGGCUAAUCCUGGUCGGACAUCAGGAGGUUAGUGCAAUGGCAUAAGCCAGCUUGACUGCGAGCGUGACGGCGCGAGCAGGUGCGAAAGCAGGUCAUAGUGAUCCGGUGGUUCUGAAUGGAAGGGCCAUCGCUCAACGGAUAAAAGGUACUCCGGGGAUAACAGGCUGAUACCGCCCAAGAGUUCAUAUCGACGGCGGUGUUUGGCACCUCGAUGUCGGCUCAUCACAUCCUGGGGCUGAAGUAGGUCCCAAGGGUAUGGCUGUUCGCCAUUUAAAGUGGUACGCGAGCUGGGUUUAGAACGUCGUGAGACAGUUCGGUCCCUAUCUGCCGUGGGCGCUGGAGAACUGAGGGGGGCUGCUCCUA
rnacentral:rRNA from 1 species